rnacentral:rRNA from 1 species
GGUUGGUGGAGUGAUUUGUCUGCUUAAUUGCGAUAACGAACGAGAUCUCUGCCAAUAAAUAGAUGCCUCUUCCGCUUGUACACAAAGGCCCCCGCGGGUCAAACUGUGGGGGGUUCCAGAGUGGAGGAGGAGGAUUUUUACUUAUUGGGAUUAUGCAUUCUUCCAAAUGCAUUGAGACGAGAGCCAAUAGCAGGUCU